UACGUAGGGGGGCAAGCGUUGUCCGGAAUCAUUGGGCGUAAAGGGCGCGUAGGCGGCUUUGUAAGUCGGGGGUGAAAGCCUGUGGCUCAACCACAGAAUUGCCCUUCGAUACUGUAUGGGCUUGAGACCGGAAGAGGUAAGUGGAACUGCGAGUGUAGAGGUGAAAUUCGUAGAUAUUCGCAAGAACACCAGUGGCGAAGGCGGCUUACUGGUCCGGUUCUGACGCUGAGGCGCGAAAGCGUGGGGAGCAAACAGG
rnacentral:rRNA from 1 species